rnacentral:rRNA from 1 species
CAGCAGCCGCGGGAAUACGUAGGGUGCAAGCGUUAAUCGGAAUUACUGGGCGUAAAGGGCGCGUAGGCGGGUGUUUAAGUCAGAGGUUAAAUCCCAGGGCUCAACCCUGGAACUGCCUUUGAUACUGGGCACCUAGAGUUCGGGAGAGGUGUGUGGAACUCCGAGUGUAGAGGUGAAAUUCGUAGAUAUUCGGAAGAACACCAGUGGCGAAGGCGACACACUGGCCAAAUACUGACGCUGAGGCGCGAAAGCGUGGGGAGCAAACAGGAUUAGAUACCCCGGUAGUCCCUGUCUCUUAUAC